UACGGGGGGGGCAAGCGUUGUUCGGAAUUACUGGGCGUAAAGCGUGCGUAGGUGGUUCGUUAAGUCUGAUGUGAAAGCCCUGGGCUCAACCUGGGAAUGGCAUUGGAUACUGGCGAUCUAGAGUGCGGUAGAGGGCAGUGGAAUUCCCGGUGUAGCAGUGAAAUGCGUAGAGAUCGGGAGGAACAUCCGUGGCGAAGGCGACUGCCUGGACCAGCACUGACACUGAGGCACGAAAGCGUGGGGAGCAAACAGG
rnacentral:rRNA from 1 species